rnacentral:misc_RNA from 1 species
GGGAUGUAUCCAACUCAGUGUUGCUAAGCACUGAUAGCAGCCAAGGGGAAAUUUCAAGCAAGACAGGCCGGUUUUCUUUGAAACAUUACCAUAAUCUGCAUAUUAGGGUCUGUGUUCAGGUGGUUCAAAGUUCAAACAAAAUUAGAAGGUGUCCACAGAUUCCACAUAUUUGGAUAAUACAUGUGUUUGGUUGACUAAUAAGGGCAAUGCACCAAAUUAAUAGGUAAUGACGUCAAAAUUCGCCCCUUGAACCAAUAUCAAUGGCUAAUCACUCAAAAUUAAUUAUGUGGCCAAAUUAACCCAUAAGUUUAUUUUUUGGGGCAAUUAAAUCCAAAAUCUGACUACAAACCCAAAAAUAUAUGCUUAAUUCAGUCAAAAUUAGGACUUAAUUGCCACAUAAUAAAACUUAUGGGCUGAUUUGCCCACAAAGUUAAUUUUGGAGUGAUUUGCCCUUGAUGGCAAGUUCAAGAGGCAAAUUGUUACUUUAAUACUUCACCCAUUAAAAAGACAAAAGUAGAGUAAGGCUCAGAUUUCAAUUUGGAGAAACAAAAAAUCAGCUUGAAAGAGAGAAAAUAUUAGAAGAUGAAUGUCUUUUGUGUGUCUAUGUCAGUGUGUCAUUCUUUUAUUCCUAUAUGGGAGGGCAAAGCGGGAAGUGGUUGGAUUGGUUAAUUAGAAGUCAAUAACUUAUAUGUCAAUGUGAAUAUUCUAGACCAACAAAGUUACAUAAGAGAAGAAGCUAUUGACGUAUCUUGAGUCUUGACUAUUCUCUAAUAGCUUCUAUUUUCAUUUUAAGGAGAAAAUCUACUGGGAGUAAGAAGGAAAUAACUAAAAGUUAAAGACAUCUUUCCAAGAUAUAAACUAUUGAUAAUGCUUAAUAAUUGAGUAACAAUAAUCAAGAAAAAUAAGAAGCUCUAGCAUAGAAAUGCUUUAUUCUUAAUCUUGAAAACCAAUGUAACUAUUCUUAUGAAACAUCUAUUCCCAUUUCCCAAACUACAACAACUAUAACCU